rnacentral:rRNA from 1 species
UAACACAUGCAAGUCGAGCGGCAGCAGGCCCUUCGGGGUGCUGGCGAGCGGCGGACGGGUGAGUAACGCGUGGGAAUCUACCCUUCGGUGGGGGAUAGCCCGGGGAAACCCGGAUUAAUACCGCAUACGCCCUACGGGGGAAAGCGGCCCUCUGAUACAAGGUCGCGCCGAUGGAUGAGCCCGCGUUUGAUUAGCUUGUUGGUGGGGUAAAGGCCUACCAAGGCGACGAUCAGUAGCUGGUCUGAGAGGACGGUCAGCCACACUGGGACUGAGACACGGCCCAGACUCCUACGGGAGGCAGCAGGGGGGAAUAUUGGACAAGGGGGGAAUC